CUCCCUGUCUCUUGCCUGCUCUGUGCCCUCUGCUCCUAGAAGCCCAGCCUCUGUGGCCCUGUGACCUGCAGAUAUUGGGAGAUCCACAGCUAAGACACCAGGAUCCCCUGGAAGAUU